rnacentral:rRNA from 1 species
AGCGAACGCUGGCGGCGUGCUUAACACAUGCAAGUCGAACGUGAAAUGUAGCAAUACAGAGUAAAGUGGCGUACGGGUGAGUAACACGUGGGUAAUCUACCAAAGAGCCUGGAAUAACCGACCGAAAGGUUGGCUAAUACUGGAUAGUUCAAAUGAAAUAUAAUGUUUCGAUUGGGAAAGGGAGCGAGCAAUCGCCCUCACUUUUUGAUGAGCCCGCGUCUGAUUAGCUAGUUGGUAGGGUAAUGGCCUACCAAGGCGACGAUCAGUAGCUGGUCUGAGGGGAUGAUCAGCCACACUGGAACUGAAACACGGUCCAGACUCCUACGGGAGGCAGCAGUGGGGAAUCUUGCGCAAUGGACGAAAGUCUGACGCAGCCACGCCGCGUGAGUGAAGAAGGCCUUCGGGUUGUAAAGCUCUGUCGGAAGGGACAAAAACGUUUAAGGUUAAUAGCCUUAGAUCUUGAUGGUACCUUCAAAGGAAGCACCGGCUAACUUCGUGCCAGCAGCCGCGGUAA